rnacentral:misc_RNA from 1 species
GAUGAAGAACGCAGCGAAAUGCGAUACUUGGUGUGAAUUGCAGAAUCCCGUGAACCAUCGAGUCUUUGAACGCAAGUUGCGCCCGAAGCCAUUAGGCCGAGGGCACGCCUGCCUGGGCGUCACACGUCGUUGCCCCCCCCAUCUACUCCUUCGGGAUUGCGGGGGGCGGAUGAUGGCCUCCCGUGCGCCUCGCCGCGCGGUUGGCAUAAAUGCCAAGUCCUCGGCGACGCACGCCACGACAAUCGGUGGUUGCGAAACCUCGGUUGCCCGUCGUGUGCGGUCGUCGCGCAUCGAGGGCUCGAAAAAAUUGCCGAGUUCCGGCUCGGCUUUCAACGCGACCCCAGGUCAGGCGGGGUUACCCGCUGAAUUUAAGCAUAUCAAAAGCGGAGGA